rnacentral:rRNA from 1 species
AAGUCGUAACAAGGUCUCCGUUGGUGAACCAGCGGAGGGAUCAUUACCGAGUUAUUCAACUCAUCAACCCUGUGAACAUACCUAAACGUUGCUUCGGCGGGAAUAGACGGCCCCGUAAAACGGGCCGCCCCCGCCAGAGGACCCUUAACUCUGUUUCUAUAAUGUUUCUUCUGAGUAAAACAAGCAAAUAAAUUAAAACUUUCAACAACGGAUCUCUUGGCUCUGGCAUCGAUGAAGAACGCGGCGAAAUGCGAUAAGUAAUGUGAAUUGCAGAAUUCAGUGAAUCAUCGAAUCUUUGAACGCACAUUGCGCCCGCCAGUAUUCUGGCGGGCAUGCCUGUUUCGAGCGUCAUUACAACCCUCAGGCCCCCGGGCCUGGCGUUGGGGAUCGGCGGAGCCCCCCGUGGGCACGCGCCGUCCCCCAAAUACAGUGGCGGUCCCGCCGCAGCUUCCAUCGCGUAGUAGCUAACACCUCGCGACUGGAGAGCGGCGCGGCCACGCCGUAAAACACCCAACUCUCCUGAAGUUGACCUCGAAUCAGGUAGGAAUACCCGCUUGAACUUAA